CGUGAAGUGAUGAGCUAUGCUUACCGCCCCAGUCUGAUAUAAAGUGACUGAUUGGUAACAACUCUGAUCCACA